GACGAACGCUGGCGGUGUGCUUAACACAUGCAAGUCGAACGGAAAGGCCCUGCUUUUGUGGGGUGCUCGAGUGGCGAACGGGUGAGUAACACGUGAGUAACCUGCCCUUGACUUUGGGAUAACUUCAGGAAACUGGGGCUAAUACCGGAUAGGAGCUCCUGCUGCAUGGUGGGGGUUGGAAAGUUUCGGCGGUUGGGGAUGGACUCGCGGCUUAUCAGCAUGUUGGUGGGGUAGUGGCUUACCAAGGCUUUGACGGGUAGCCGGCCUGAGAGGGUGACCGGCCACAUUGGGACUGAGAUACGGCCCAGACUCCUACGGGAGGCAGCAGUGGGGAAUAUUGCACAAUGGGCGGAAGCCUGAUGCAGCAACGCCGCGUGCGGGAUGACGGCCUUCGGGUUGUAAACCGCUUUCGCCUGUGACGAAGCGUGAGUGACGGUAAUGGGUAAAGAAGCACCGGCUAACUACGUG
rnacentral:rRNA from 1 species